GCUUCAUCUCCAACACGCAUUAGGAAAUUAGGGGCUAAUUAAAUCCACACGGGGCAGUACUCAGGUGAAAGACUGCUGGGUCCCUCCCGAAAUUCCCUUCUGCACAGCAAAGCCCCAGAUGCUGGCACACGACAGGACACGAACGCACCACAGUUCCUGGAUGUGCCUCUCAUUUUUCUGAAGACCCCAGGGACCAGAACUCUGUGGGCUGAAGUCACUUUUUUGUCACAGGAGCCAGAGCUAGGCUGCGCUAUUGAAAACGGGAUUUCAUCCUAACGAGCCUAAAAUAAAACAACGCGGGGAAGGAGAUUUCAAAGUAUCCUCAGCUGGAUGGGGAGAAG